rnacentral:tRNA from 1 species
GCCCCCGUGGUGAAACUGGAUAUCACGAGUGACUACGGAUCACUUGUUUCGGGUUCGAAUCCUGACGGGGGUG